UGAUAUUAUGAAAAUGAUUCCAGGUAUGAAUAAAAUGAAAGGGCUAGAUAAGCUUAAUAUGAGUGAAAAGC
rnacentral:sRNA from 1 species